CCUACGGGAGGCAGCAGUGAGGAAUAUUGGUCAAUGGGCGUAAGCCUGAACCAGCCAAGUCGCGUGAAGGAAGAAGGAUCUAUGGUUUGUAAACUUCUUUUAUAGGGGAAUAAAGGUAUCCACGUGUGGAUAUUUGCAUGUACCCUAUGAAUAAGCAUCGGCUAACUCCGUGCCAGCAGCCGCGGUAAUACGGAGGAUACGAGCGUUAUCCGGAUUUAUUGGGUUUAGAGGGAGCGUAGGUUGUUUUUUAAGUCAGCGGUGAAAGUUUGUGGCUCAACCAUAAAAUUGCCGUUGAUACUGGCAGUCUUGAGUGUGUUUGAGGUAGGCGGAAUGCGUGGUGUAGCGGUGAAAUGCAUAGAUAUCACGAAGAACUCCGAUUGCGAAGGCAGCUUACUAAGCCAUAACUGACACUGAAGCACGAAAGCGUGGGUAUCAAACAGGAUUAGAUACCCUAGUAGUC
rnacentral:rRNA from 1 species